rnacentral:tRNA from 1 species
CCUGGUGGCUGAGUUAGUAAAGAAUCUGCCUGCAAUGCAGGAGACCUGGGUUCAAUCCCUGAGUCAGGA